rnacentral:rRNA from 1 species
GACGAACCGCCCGAACGUUGUUCGGAAUCACUGGGCUUAAAGGGAGCGUAGGCGGGCUGCCAAGUCCGGGGUGAAAUCCUCCAGCUUAACUGGAGAACUGCCUCGGAUACUGGAAGUCUCGAGGAGGGUAGGGGCAAGUGGAACCGUGGGUGGAGCGGUGAAAUGCGUUGAUAUCCAUGGGAACUCCGGUGGCGAAGGCGACUUG